CUUGCCUACAACCUUACUUGGUUGCCGGCUGAGAGUUUUCGUGUGGCUGUUGCUUCAUUUGCUGUCAUCAUUGUCAUUGCCGGCCUUAUCGUUCCCCUGCCAGCCACUGUGAGUUGGAUUGCUAAUAUUUUCCACUGUUAUCGUGCUAUUCUGUGUCACCGAGAGUCUGUCACUGUGUUGCUGUCAUUGCUGUCACCUUCUUCCUUUCCUUUAUCUUCGUUCAUCUGUCACGGUGGAAGAGGAAGAUACAGUUCUAUCGUUCUUCUUGGUUACAGGGACGUUAGAGAUCUCGGUGCAUAGUAGCUAUCAUUACACUUUGAUAGAGGAGGACUGAGUUCAAAACGCUAGAUGCUAACGGCAGUUUCGUUAGCUCUUGACUCGCCAUGGUACACCCAACUAGCAAGAUGCUUAUUGAAGGUGCCAACCCCGUGUGAUGGCCAACGCACGUGGAAUGGAGGGAUGAUUAUUUAUGAGCAUCAUACUCACACUUGUUUUCAUAGGCUUCAAGCCUGCGCUUGUUUUGUGGCCUUUGGCCACACUUGAUUAGUUACUUGCUCUCGUGGACUGUGUGUCCACACUUAUUAGUCGUUUUGAUGAAGCCCUCCUAAACUUUCCAAUUUAAACUUAUUAUUUUUUGGAAUUUUUUUUACUUUAAAAGUGUGUUUAUUGUAAGUUUUUA